GGACUGGUAGCUCAGUUGGUUAGAGCAGGGGACUCAUAAUCCCUUUGUCGGCGGUUCGAGUCCGUCCAGGCCUA
rnacentral:tRNA from 1 species